rnacentral:rRNA from 1 species
GACUCCGGUUGAUCCUGCCGGACCCCACUGCUAUCGGGAUGGGACUAAGACAUGCUAGUUGAGCGCCUUCCAGCCACGAAGAAGGCGCAGCGCACAGCUCAGUAACGCGUGGCUAACCUGCCCUUGGGACGGGAAUACCCCCGGGAAACUGGGGCUAAUUCCAGAUAGGUGAAUAACUCUGGAAUGAGUUUUCGACAAAAAACAUUUAGAUCAUGCUCUAGGUGUUGCCCAAGGAUGGGGCCGCGACCGAUCAGGUUGUUGGCGAGGUAAUGGCUCACCAAGCCUUUUACCGGUGCGGGCCGUGGGAGCGGAAGCCCGGAGAUGGGCACUGAGACAAGGGCCCAGGCCCUACGGGGCGCAGCAGUCGCGAAAACUUUGCAAUAAGCGAAAGCUUGACAGGGCUAUCCCGAGUGCCAUCCGCUGAGGAAGGCUUUUACCUAGUGUAGACCGCUAGGGGAAUAAGGAGAGGGCAAGUCUGGUGUCAGCCGCCGCGGUAAUACCAGCUCUUCGAGUGGUGUGGAUGUUUAUUGGGCCUAAAGCAUCCGUAGCUGGCUAG